UACGAAGGGGGCUAGCGUUGCUCGGAUUGACUGGGCGUAAAGGGCGCGUAGGCGGCCACACACGUCCGUUGUGAAAUCGCCCGGCUCAACUGGGCGGGGUCGGCGGAUACGGCGUGGCUGGAGCAAGCUAGGGGGCAAUGGAAUUCCCGGUGUAGUGGUGGAAUGCGUAGAUAUCGGGAGGAACACCAGUGGCGAAGGCGGUUGCCUGGAGCUUUGCUGACGCUGAGGCGCGAAAGCGUGGGGAGCGAUCCGG
rnacentral:rRNA from 1 species